CCUCUGCUCUUGCCUGAGUACGAUUGACUUUAUUUCCUCCCAGUGAUGGACUACAGUCCACCACCAAGUGUGGUGGUUUGAAUAUACUUGGCCCAGGAAAUAGCACUAUUUGGAGGUGUAGCCUUGUUGGAAUAGGUGUGGCCUUGUUGGAGAAAGUGUGUCACUGUGGGUGUGGCCUUUAAGACCCUUGUCCUAGCUGCUGUUCUGUUUGCCUUCAGAACAAGAUGUAGAACUCUCGGCUCCUUCUGCAACACCAUGUCUGCCUGGAUGCUGCCCUGCUUCCCGCCAUGAUGACAAUGGACUGAACUCUGAAUCUCUACAGGAUGGCGUUCUCAUCUCCAACCAGGGCUCACAGGAGCUGUAGUAAUUCAUAACUUUUGCAAAUAACACAUCUGCCGCACACGGUCCAUGCACAGUUCAGGAGCUGUCUGAGGGGCUUGGCUAUCUGAGGGACAGCAGAAGACAAAGGGACGAAGAAGGCACGUUUGCGGCAAACAAGCUUAUUCCCACCACUGGAAGGGAACAUGGCUGCUUGCCGACCACAGUCCAUCGGCGUUACAAAGCUGGGGUUUGUGAUCCUGCCAAGUGAGUAGACCUGGGCCUGCUCUAUUCUUAUUCUUUCCCCUCUCCCUGUCUUUUGUUUCUCAGAAGGGUUUCAGGCGAUCGCAGCAGAGAGGUUGUGUGCAAUUUUGAGGGUCGGGAUUAAGGAUCUUAUUUGGUUGUAAGCUUCUAAGCAACACGCACCAAGCGGGGAACGAGGCAGGACUUCCUUGCCCUCGUUAUCAGAGAGAAAGGCAUUUCGAUCGUUUGUGGUCAGAAAGUGAACCAGAUCUCAGGGAUUCAGAAACUCCAGUUGGGAGGGUAGGGGUUCUUGGGUUCAGUGUCUUCAAAGGGCACUUUGGGUCUUUGGUUUACCGAAUGCCAACACUGGGAGCCACUCUUACUUGUCCACAAAAGGUGGUGAUAUGUACGGUCCCAUUUCUCUUAAGGAAGGAAGGAACCCACUGAGACUCUUACAGAGCAGAAUCCAUGAAAAGAGAAUCUGCCCUGAGGAGCAGCCCUCACCCCCCUGCACUGUCAGCCUCUCCUGCACUGGCUCCUGUCAGCAUCAGUGAUAGUUCAUGCUAGUUCUUCUCACCCUCAGGGCCUGUUCCAGCAAUCCCUGGCUUCCAGCCAUAGCUGGAGGUGUGGCAGGGCAGAGGGUCUGCCAGAGUUCCUCUGCCAAAAUUGUCCAAGAUACUUCAGGGGAACCUUAACCCAUAGCAGUGUGUUCCCCAACAGUAAUAGAGGCUGAAGUCCAAGAUGAAGUCGCCAGGGUGGCAUCCCCUUGAGGCCUCAUUCCUUGGUCCCAUGAUGGCCUCUCCUGUUGGCUCUUCCCAUUCUCCUCUCCCCUGACAGACACUCCUGAACCAGUGUACCGUCUGAGCAACCUCUCUCCAGCUACAGUCACAUCCUGGGGUCCUCCAGGCUGGGGCAUCUGAAUUUAACAUGAGUUGGAGUGGGAGAGAGAAUUCAACCAAAUGCCAAACGCCGCUGCCGGGCCGGACCACGCUCUGAGAGCUGCAGACCCGUGUUAUGUGGAAAUGACAGUAUUCUAACAUCUUGGACCGAUUCACAGCCACCCUUAAUAACAGAACACAGUUCACCGUAGGAUGCCAAGGGAUUCUACCCUUGCCUCGCCGCCAACUCCUUUUAUCUCCCUGUGAUGUCCUCAAAGUAUAGGCUGGAGGAGGGCAGCGCCUAGGAUGGCCUGAACACAGCUCCUGGCUCUGGGCUGCAUCCGGCUGGAUUUGAUGUCUAUUUUUAAUUUGGACAUUUUGGAAGGGAGCUGUAAUUAGUGUAGGGAGCAAGCUCAGGGGUUGUUUUAAGAAGUCUUUAAAGUUUUACUCCAUUUUAUCUUAAAAGGAAGACCGGGUCGGCCUGUGAGGUCCGUGUUCUCUGGAUGCAGUACUCACACCCAAGUGAACCCACCUCACUGACAGUGGUUGGGCAGAUAAAACCAGAUAAAGAGGUAAGUCUGGAAGCUUCCACUGACUCCCAACGGCCCUUUCUUCGAAAUUCAAAAAUCUGAACUCAAGGCCACGGGGAUGGCUCAGUUGGUGACACCCUUGCCUGUGAGCACGAGGGCCUGAGUUCAUUCCCUGAAGCCCGCUUACCAAAAGCUGGGCUUGGCGGUGCACGCUUGUAAUACCAGUGCCAUGGAGGCGACACAGUCUUUCCCUCAUUACAGUGGCACUGCUGUCUGUCACCUGUUGUCUUGGGUCUUCCGGAAUGGAUGGAUUUGAUGUAGAAACCACAGCCCCCGGCAGACACAAGCACCGUGUCUUCUAGCUGCAUUUGAGCACUUACUGCAUAGGAGUCACGCCCUCUCUGAAGCAGGUGUCGUCAGCCUUCCUAACUUACAGGGAGGGAAACCGAGGCACAGGGGAAGACGCAGCAGCUUGCUCAAGGUCCCAGAGGUAGGAACCGGGGAUGGCGUUCGAGUUCUGGAAGACCGCUUUGAGACACUGACUCGUGUGACUCCUGGGGUCUGAAGCCACACCUGGGGACUCAAUGCUGGCAGUUCACAGGUAUCAUGGUGGACUGUUAACAGCCCUGUUAGGUAGGGUCCUAUUCCUACCCCAGAGGUCUGAUAUAACUCCUCCGGCUCUUGCCAGUGGUCCUAGGGUCCUAGUACUGCUCUGUUAGGAACCACGGUGCUUCAGAGGGCCUAGAGUCACACGUAUACUAGGGUCAAGCUGGAACCUGGGUGUGAGCCUUGUCAAGUUUCACUAGGCCUGCUACGGCUGGGGUUGUCUGUGAGUAGGCGGAUGGUGUCCUCCCUGGCAUCUGAGGGCUGUCAGACUCACAGGAAGGUGCCUUCUUGGAGCCUCUGCUGCAUCCUAUGUACUCAGUUUAAGGACCCCUGGGAAGAAGAAAAGCUGGGUGGAAGCAGCCAGGCUUGAGCAUCCUGCAGAAAGCACUCAGUCUAUCAAGAGAAAGCCCUGAGGCUUGACCCCUUCUCUGGCUCCUCUCUUGCAACAGACACUUUCUUGUGUGCAUGUCGCACACCAUUCACUCGCUCUGGCCUCUCUCCCUCCUCAAAUGCUAAUUCCAGGGUGCAGGUGUCUCCCACUUUUUUUUUUGGUCCUCUGCUACAUUACCAGUUCUUGGCCCAUAGUAGAUACUCAUCAAAAGUUUGUCUGAAUUAAUGUGCAAAUGCAUAAACGCACACAAGUCGGUGCACACAUGCAUGUAUGAGUGUGUGCAUGCACUCGUGAGUGUGAUACACGAAUGCACGAACAGAUUCAGGAACGUGUCAGUGACUCGGGGGUGAAGGGACUGUGAAUGUUCUUCGUGACUGGAGAGGCUGCGUGCUCCUCUGGUGCCUGCAUCUGCUGCUCUUGGCCCAUCCUCCCACUGAGGUUUCCAGCCAGAGUCGGGCUCCACAAAAGCAUUAGCAGAUGGGCUCUUCGUCUUAGGAGAAAUUGGCUCUGAUUGCAAGAGCUUUGAUGAGCAGAGGACCCUGGAGCUUCCUAACCUGUUGAGUCAGCCGGGGAAACAGGAGGAGCAAUCACGUCAUGCUGGAGGGUGAAGACACCAGGAGAGGCUGGAAGGGCUCUGCGAGUUGGGGUGCUUUUCCAGGAAGCCAGAUCGGCUCUGUUGGCUCUGUUACACCUGCAGAACUACUGACUGGGUGUCCUGUUCUGGGAGUGGGCUCUGCGUGAACACCAGACACAUCUGUCAUCUGCACACGAGGCCUGACUCAGGGAGAUCUGGUAGCUCACUGACAGAAAAUGACUGACAGGCGUUAAUUGGAACGACUUCCUGGCUGGGCAGUGGCUGAGGAAAGUGGCAACUGCCUGGCUACACAGACAUGAGCUAUCAGCACAGUUAACGCACUGUACGGCAGGCGGAGAGUUCAGGGUGUUAGAACUGUGGGCUGACACCAAUCCCAGUCACGAUUGCUGAUGCCAAGAAGUGCUCGCCGAAAGGAGCCUGAUACAGCUGUCUCCUGAGAGGCUCUGCCAGAGACCUACGGAUACAGAUGAGGAUCCUUGCAGCUAACCAUUGGACUGAGCACGGGGACCCCAAUGGAGGAGUUAGAGAAAGGGCUGAAGGAGCUGAAGGGGUUUGCACCCCUAUAGGAAGAACAACAAUAUCAACCAACCAACCAGACCGUCCAGAGCUCCCAGGGACUAAACCACCAACCAAUGAGUGCACAUGGAGGGACCCAUGGCUCCAGCCACAUCUGUAACAGAAGAUGGCAUUGUCCAGCAUCAAUAGGAGGAAAAGCACUUGGUCCUGUGAAGGCUGGUUUUCCCCAGUGUACGGGAUGGAAGCCAGGAUCUUAUGCCUGUGUAGCAAGCACUUUAUUGGUUGAUCUAUCUCUGACACCUCCUGGUCUUUCUCUUAAUAGAGCAGCAGGUUUCAACAACACCCCAUCUCCCUCAUUUCUGUAAGUUACCCACACACUGUUCCUGGUGGGGAAGAGGCUAGAAUUGGGCCAGUCCUAUAGAUACCGCCCCAAAGUAUUCCUCCCUCUCCCGCCUGCUAGACACCUCCUACCCCUCCCAAAAGUCACCCACAAACCUGGGCUCCAAGGAACCACUCCCAGCAGCAGGCCUCACUGUCUCUAGCUGGCCUGUCUUCAACAGUUUCACCAUAAUGAAGGAAUACAGCCUUCCCUGUCUCCAGCACUUGCUGGCACAGGUCUAAGCGUCUUGUGUGUCUCAAGCAUUUGGUGCCUAAUACUCGCAGGACUCAAAAAGGAGGGUCAGCACUGUGCCAACCCAUUAGUGUCUCUCCUGCUAAGACGUUUGUCAUGCUUCAUGGAAGAUGGCCAUUUGUGGUCCUCGAGGCAGUGUACCAGAAAGGCCACAGGGAGGCGCCACUGGGACCAGCAUGCCUGAAUUCACUAGCUGAGGAAUGUAAGCGCCUGCAUUGAUAUCUGGGACACAGCGGAGGACACACAGUUGUGCACAACAGCCACACGGACAACCUGGAGCCCAGAGAUGAAC